GAAUUAGGCAUAGAAAUAAAAUUGUUUUACUUACAUAGGUUACAAGGUCCCCCUCUUCUUCUUCUUCACCAUUACGGAAUUUGUUUCACUUUUGGCCACUCAAGAGUGAAUUAAACACAGUUCAUCUCUGAGCCUAUAAUCUGUUGUGUGCAAUGUUGAAAUUGCUUCCAUGGAAUUGUUUUUCAAGGGUGGAUAGAUUCUCCACUUAUUAUCCUUCAAUACAAAGCAAUCAUGGAAGGAGAGGCUUCAGUUGAGUGUCAAGAUUGGGAGCUCCUAGACAAAUCCAACGUCAACCUGACCAAUUCUGGCUAAUUUAUGUGGUGAUAGUCUAGCUUUUGGUGAUGUUGCGAAGAUGAUCGAGGGUUCUGAGUUUUUGGGUGACUAUAAGCUAAGCUACAUCAACCAUAGAUAGGUAUAAAUCCAAGAGUGGAUGGAAGGCGUCUCCGCAUUACAAUGUUUCUGUAUUAAAGGAUGUCCUCAACUAUCAGAAAGAUGCAAAAACAACAUGGGCGUUGAUUGGCCCAAGAUUAAUUGCUUGUAUCCCAAAUAUUAGUAUUGAUGGAAGAUGGAUUCAAGAGGAUGGCUGCUACCAACUAUGAUUUGACGCAUCAGACUUCUCAUGGGAAUUGGUUGGAACUUUUAUCACCAAAUGCAUGUUUUGAGUGAGAUCUAGCAAUAGUUAAAGUUGGGUUAAGAUUGCAGUUGAUGAUCAAAUCUGACAAGCAUGCUCAAGGAAUUUGCUUUUGUAUUUUUCAAGUCUGGAAUGCAUGACUAUUACCCUCUCAAAUUGGUUAGCAUCUUAAGUGGCAAUAUGUUCUGCGAAAUUAUUAACCUGCAAAGAAAUGGAAGUGUUCCCAUAUAAGUUUAAGUGAGCUAUGGAAAGUCAAAUGAGCAUUAUGCAACUCUUGUAUCUUUAAUUUUGGACUUUGGAAAUUGAUGAUGGCUCUGCUUGUUGAAAGAUUCCAAAGAAGAGCAAUUUUGGAUUGGCCUCUCAUAUGCCAGUGCCAGAAAGUCUUAGUUUAUUACUA